AUAGAAAAUAGGUGCCCGUACCGCAAACCGACACAGGUAGUCAAGAUGAGAAUUCUAAGGUGAGCGAGCGAACUCUCGUUAAGGAACUCGGCAAAAUGACCCCGUAACUUCGGGAGAAGGGGUGCUCUUUAGGGUUAACGCCCAGAAGAGCCGCAGUGAAUAGGCCCAAGCGACUGUUUAUCAAAAACACAGGUCUCUGCUAAACCGUAAGGUGAUGUAUAGGGGCUGACGCCUGCCCGGUGCUGGAAGGUUAAGAGGAGUGGUUAGCUUCUGCGAAGCUACGAAUCGAAGCCCCAGUAAACGGCGGCCGUAACUAUAACGGUCCUAAGGUAGCGAAAUUCCUUGUCGGGUAAGUUCCGACCCGCACGAAAGGCGUAACGAUUUGGGCACUGUCUCAACGAGAGACUCGGUGAAAUCAUAGUACCUGUGAAGAUGCAGGUUACCCGCGACAGGACGGAAAGACCCCGUGGAGCUUUACUGUAGCCUGAUAUUGAAAUUCGGCACAGCUUGUACAGGAUAGGUAGGAGCCUUUGAAACGUGAGCGCUAGCUUACGUGGAGGCGCUGGUGGGAUACUACCCUAGCUGUGUUGGCUUUCUAACCCGCACCACUUAUCGUGGUGGGAGACAGUGUCAGGCGGGCAGUUUGACUGGGGCGGUCGCCUCCUAAAAGGUAACGGAGGCGCUCAAAGGUUCCCUCAGAAUGGUUGGAAAUCAUUCAUAGAGUGUAAAGGCAUAAGGGAGCUUGACUGCGAGACCUACAAGUCGAGCAGGGUCGAAAGACGGACUUAGUGAUCCGGUGGUUCCGCAUGGAAGGGCCAUCGCUCAACGGAUAAAAGCUACCCCGGGGAUAACAGGCUUAUCUCCCCCAAGAGUUCACAUCGACGGGGAGGUUUGGCACCUCGAUGUCGGCUCAUCGCAUCCUGGGGCUGUAGUCGGUCCCAAGGGUUGGGCUGUUCGCCCAUUAAAGCGGUACGCGAGCUGGGUUCAGAACGUCGUGAGACAGUUCGGUCCCUAUCCGUCGUGGGCGUAGGAAAUUUGAGAGGAGCUGUCCUUAGUACGAGAGGACCGGGAUGGACAUACCUCUGGUGUACCAGUUGUCGUGCCAACGGCAUAGCUGGGUAGCUAUGUGUGGACGGGAUAAGUGCUGAAAGCAUCUAAGCAUGAAGCCCCCCUCAAGAUGAGAUUUCCCAACUUCGGUUAUAAGAUCCCUCAAAGAUGAUGAGGUUAAUAGGUUCGAGGUGGAAGCAUGGUGACAUGUGGAGCUGACGAAUACUAAUCGAUCGAAGACUUAAUCAA
rnacentral:rRNA from 1 species